UACGUAGGGCGCAAGCGUUGUCCGGAAUUAUUGGGCGUAAAGAGCUCGUAGGCGGUUUGUCGCGUCUGUCGUGAAAGCCCACGGCUUAACUGUGGGUCUGCGGUGGAUACGGGCAGACUAGAGGCAAGUAGGGGAGAAUGGAAUUCCCGGUGUAGCGGUGAAAUGCGCAGAUAUCGGGAGGAACACCGGUGGCGAAGGCGGUUCUCUGGGCCUGUACUGACGCUGAGGAGCGAAAGCGUGGGGAGCGAACAGG
rnacentral:rRNA from 1 species